GUCGAGGUGGCGGAAUUGGUAGACGUUCAAGGGGCUAAUAAGGUAUGCAUUCCUUCCGUAGCCGAAUGGAUGAUGGAGCCAACAGUAAUAAUGCAUCAGAGGCCCUUCAUCGUGCUGGUUCGAAUCCAGCCCUCGACA
rnacentral:tRNA from 1 species